rnacentral:rRNA from 1 species
GCUUACGGCCAUAUCUGCCUGGGUACGCCCGAUCUCGUCUGAUCUCGGAAGCUAAGCAGCGGUCGGGCCUGGUUAGUACUUGGAUGGGAGACCGCCUGGGAAUACCAGGUGCUGUAAGCA